rnacentral:rRNA from 1 species
GUAAUACGUAGGUGGCAAGCGUUGUCCGGAUUUAUUGGGCGUAAAGCGAGCGCAGGCGGUCUUUUAAGUCUGAUGUGAAAGCCCUCGGCUCAACCGAGGAAGGUCAUUGGAAACUGGAGGACUUGAGUGCAGAAGAGGACAGUGG